AUUAUAGAAUUAGGCAGUUCA
rnacentral:snRNA from 1 species